CGCGCGUUGGCCGCUCGCCGACCGGGCCCCGAGUCGCCGAUUCCUGCCGAGUGUAGAGAGGAGAGAGUGAACAGGGAGCGGGGCUUUUGUCUGUUGGUUGGUCUCUCUGGACUGAAGAGAGGGAGGGUGCAAGGCCAAGACUGUUAAUGAUUCUCAAAAUGGUUUAUUACCCAGAGCUUUCUGUCUGGGUCAGUCAAGAACCAUUUCCAAACAAGGAAAUGGAGGGAAGACUUCCUAAGGGAAGACUUCCUGUCCCAAAGGAAGUGAACCGCAAGAAGAAUGGAGAGACCGAGGCUGCCUCCCUGACUCCACUUGGUGGCAAUGAGCUCCAGUCCCCAGGAAUCAGUUACCUCCACUCUUUUUAAUCACCUCCAUUUGUAUUACAUAUGGUGUAUGGGUAUUGAUGAGGUCAUGGUAUCAUAUAUGGGAUUUUUUUCUGUGUAAAUCAUCAAGUAUAAGAAGAAACUAUGGGACUCUGAGCCUUGCUUUAGAGAAUUUACAGUGGACAAAUAGGUAUCAUCAAACCAGUUUUUAAUCAUUCUGACUCCAGUGAAAACCGCUCAGAAUUUCACACUGUGAAUCCACGUUUACAACCCUUACAGGUGGGCCUUCAGGCCUGGUUCGCUACAACGUCUUCCACAACUCAAACUCCCACCGCUCUCACACGACCGGUCCACUUCUGCCUUUUCACUCACACAGCUCCCGACUGCUUCUUGCAGAGGCUGAGAGUCCCCAUUUUUUUUUUUUUCAUUUAGAUGUAACAAGCCUAGUAGUUUACGUUCAUCAAUUGUCUGUAUAUCUCUAUAUUUUAUCCAUGUACUCUUUUGAUGUAUAGAAGUAGUUUGAAACUCAUUGUUUCCUUGUGGUAAGUGACCGAGAUGCUGCCACAGGACCUGAGACACUGAUGAAUGGUGCUAUUUUGGACUUUCAACAUGCUCCUUGGCGAGGUAGCUCUGAUGGAGUUAUUUUUUAUUUUCAUGUUCUAAGAAGGUGUUGGUACUCUGUUUCCCUGGAUGUUGUUCUCUAGACUGGAUUGACUUGUUUUCCUUGUGUCUUCAGUGUGGCUUUCUUCUUCAGCAUUGUAGGUUGAGUGAGCGCCGCCGCAGAGCGCGGGGGAGCCUCGCGCCUCACGGGCUGGCGCUCGUGGACGCGCAGUCACUGUAGCGGGAGCAAUCACAAAACUGUAAUUUCCUUACCAAAUCUCUUCCUUUCAGUAGCGUCGCCUGCCUAACUUGGAGAACGAAAAGCAAUAAUUUGACAGGCGUUUUUAGGUGUCUCUUUUAGUUCUUUUUGUUUGAAAGAGUAUUUGGGGAAAAAUAGGGCAAACUUUUUUUUUCUUUUCUUUUUUUUGAAUAAAUGCCCUCUGAAAAAACUACCGCCAAACAGGCAUCUCAGUAGGAACAUGAAAAUUAUAUCUUUCCCAAAAAUUAGGUUGGAAAAAAAAAGUCUUUACAAAAUUUAAAAAAAAAAGGCAGAGCACUCUUUUUCGGCAGUUCUGAUAAGCAAGGUGUAGAUCUUACAUUUUUGUCCUUGCUCCCAAUGAAAUGGAGAAACAAAAAUAUAAUCAGACAAUACCAUCUACUCAUGGAAUGUUGUUGUGUUAGCCAGUCUGAAAGCCCACCUUAAUUUUUAUAUAACUGUCUUUCAGCUCUUCCUUUGACAGGGCAGGCUUUGUUCUGACUGUCCCGCUUCUGUUACACGACGCAUGCGCUGCUGCACUUCUUCCGUCUCCUCUCGCUCGCCCAUUGGCCUGAGUUUCCUGUGCAUUUCCCCUCCCUCCUUCGUUAGAUUAGGUGUAUCCGCAGUGUAAAUAGAGCAAGAAAACAGUAUUCUGCAUCUGUGGCAUUUACGUAGAGUUGCAGUUGUGUACUGCUGAAUAUGCAGGCUUUUGUAACAAUGUGAUCUUUACUGAUGCACUCAAGACAAGUACCCAAUGUAUUUUAGCUAUUUUAGUAGUAUUUGUUCAAUAAAUAUGCAAGCUGUAUGGUAACUGGCUUGGCUCGUCAUUGCAAAGGCCUACUUUGGAAUGCUUUCACUGAUUCAUGUUAAUUCAUAUGCUCUCAGAGCCCCAGAAGUAGACCCAAGGGCAAAUAUCAAAAGAGAUUGAAACAGCUCAGCCUUUCGUGCAUUUUCCCUUCUGAGGGUUUUAUGAGAUUAGAGGCUAGGCAGUGUGGCUCAUUAGGAUGGUAUUUGCAGAGCUGCCUCGGAUACAAAGGAGAAUUAAACCAAGACCCUUUUAUUUCUAAACUUUUAUUUUUCCCUUUCAGCGCAGUCCCGCACACCGCAAAACAUUCUUUCUUACCCUUUGCCUUAAAGACCUCCUCUUUGGUCUUAUUUACCCAUGCCAGAAGAUACCUGUCCUUGAUGCUUCAUGGAAUAUUUGCACUUACACACUUCUGUGCAAGUUACACAGAAGUGUGUAAGUGUAUAAGACAAAAGGCUUACACUUGUAAAUGGAUAAAAAUUUGAGAUAAGGAUUUAAGUCAUGAAUUCAUAUGUACCCAGCUACCUGGAAUCUAGCAGAUGAGAAGAUAAGCAUCACCAGAACCUUCUAGAGGGCUCUUGUGAUGCUGAAACCCAACAAUUCCGGGCAUUUAUGCUUUUCCUGUGUAUGAGAAAUGCCUGCGGCUCCCUCCUCAUACAUAAGGAGAACGAAACUUCAGCUGGGUUUACACACCAAUUGUUAAAUUGACAGGCUGGGUUCAGAUACUUGGGUUUCACCUGAACAGAGGCUAAGGAACAGAUCUCUGAGUUAGAGCCAGAGAGAGAUAGGAAGGGAGCAGAAGGUAGCUUGGCCCAGCUUGGGAGUUCAGACUUUGCAGCAGGAGGGAUCAGAUGCUCUCUGAGAAAUCUUUUGGUCUUGACACUUGUGCGCCAGGAGGGACUUUUAAAUUGGGGAGUAGCUUUAGAAAUAAAUGCACAGCUCAGAUUUUGGUUAAGUUUCUUAUUUUCCCUCAAUUUUUAAUCUUAUUAAGAGAAAGGAGCCUUAGGGCAGAACUGCCUACCAGAAAGAAAAAAUCUCAGCUGCCUACCAGAUAAGCAGAAUUUGUUCAACCUGAAAGAAAAUUUUAAAACAGAGCUACCACUACCUCUUUUGGGCAUCCCACCCAGAGGUUCAUACUUCUGAAGAGGUGAAAAUAUCAC